AUUGAACGCUAGCGGGAUGCCUUACACAUGCAAGUCGAACGGAGUGGCGAACGGGUGAGUAAUGUAUCGGAACGUGCCCAGUAGCGGGGGAUAACUACGCGAAAGCGUAGCUAAUACCGCAUACUAUUGGAGCGGCCGAUAUCGGAUUAGCUAGUUGGUGGGGUAACGGCUCACCAAGGCGACGAUCCGUAGCUGGUUUGAGAGGACGACCAGCCAAACUGGGACGGAGACACGGCCAAGAUGCUGACGGGAGGCAGCAGGGGGGAAUAUUGGACAAUGGGCGAAAGACUGAUGCAGCCAUGCCGCGGGGAAGAAGAAGGCCUUCGGGUUGUAAAGCACUUUGGGCAGGAAGGCGGUACCUGCAGAAUAAGCACCGGCUAACUCCGUGCCAGCCGCCGCGGUAAUAC
rnacentral:rRNA from 1 species